UAGGGAAUCUUCCGCAAUGGACGCAAGUCUGACGGAGCAACGCCGCGUGAGUGAAGAAGGAUUUCGGUUCGUAAAACUCUGUUGUUAGAGAAGAACAGCGCAUAGAGUAACUGUUAUGCGUGUGACGGUAUCUAACCAGAAAGCCACGGCUAACUACGUGCCAGCAGCCGCGGUAAUACGUAGGUGGCAAGCGUUGUCCGGAUUUAUUGGGCGUAAAGCGAGCGCAGGCGGUCAAUUAAGUCUGAUGUGAAAGCCCCCGGCUCAACCGGGGAGGGUCAUUGGAAACUGGUUGACUUGAGUGCAGAAGAGGAGAGUGGAAUUCCAGGUGUAACGGUGAAAUGCGUAGAUAUAUGGAGGAACACCAGUGGCGAAGGCGACUCUCUGGUCUGUAACUGACGCGGAGGCUCGAAAGCGUGGGUAGCAAACAGG
rnacentral:rRNA from 1 species